AACGAACGCUGGCGGCAUGCCUAACACAUGCAAGUCGAACGGGAUCCGGACUUCGGUUCGGUGAGAGUGGCGGACGGGUGAGUAACGCGUGGGAACCUGCCCAGUGGUGGGGGAUAACUGCGGGAAACUGCAGCUAAUACCGCAUGAGCCCGAGAGGGAAAGAUUUAUCGCCAUUGGAGGGCCCGCGUUCGAUUAGGUAGUUGGUGAGGUAACGGCUCACCAAGCCGACGAUCGAUAGCUGGUCUGAGAGGAUGAUCAGCCACACUGGGACUGAGAUACGGCCCAGACUCCUACGGGAGGCAGCAGUGGGGAUAUUGGACAAUGGGGGCGAACCCUGAUCCAGCAAUGCCGCGUGAGUGAUGAAGGCCUUCGGUGUAAGCUCUUUGUCC
rnacentral:rRNA from 1 species